UGCCUUUUCUCCUCGCUCAGCACUGUGCAAUAAUAAAAUUCCUACUUUCUUCCACUAUACCCGGUGUCAGAGAUUGGCUUGCUGCGCAACAGGUGAGCAAACUCACUUCAGGUUCGAUAUCAAUUUGAGAACCCAGAUGGGACAUUGUCCCAAGAAGACAUCUCGGCUGUGGCACACCAGCCUCUGGCUAAAGGCCUCUCUUGGAAGCUGACCUGCAGCUGCCUGAGCUCCUCAUCUCAAGGACAGCCCCAAGUAACUGGCUGCUAACCAGACAUUGUUGGCACAUGGCGCUUUUGCUUUGUUGGUGAAAGAAACUAUGUUCAGGAUUAGGAAGAUGUCUCUUGUAAGUAGCUUGCAGUUUUUGUUUUUGUCUUUGUGCUAACCUUUUCCAAUAGGACUGGCGGGAAUAAUGGGUACCUGGCAGCCCUCUGGGCUCAGUUUGUUUUGAAGUCACGACGCCCUGGCCAGGUGUUGGUAAGUCCCCUGGUGUGCACACCAAGGUCCCUUGUCCUUGCUCAUUUGGGAAGAUCUGCAUAGCUGAUCUUCAUUUGUUGGGUGCCCCCGGAGUGUAGGACACAGACUAAGCUGGGACUGGAAGCACUUUGGUUUUUGGUUUGGGUUUUGGUAUUUGUUUUGGCCUCUGUUUGUGGCCAAGGGUUUUUGGGAAAGCACACUUGUUUGGUCCUUGUUGUUGUUUGUCUGUUUGUCCUUUUCAAGGAGUUAACGUGGGCAGUGCUGCAUCUAUUCCACCUAAGAGCCCCUUGGGAAACACUCUGGCUGAUUGGUCGACCUAUAGCUAUAAGCCAAUGUCUAAAGAGGGAUGAUUUUCUCUAGUAACACCACGUGGCCACAAUAGUCUUCAGAUUCCAGAGGAAAAAAAAUGGCCAAAUAACCGAUCCUUAAGUUGGAAAAAAUUUUCAGAGAGUUCUCAUGAUAAACAGCUGUUUUAUUGCUACCUAUGAAAAGACCAAAUUCAAAGGGAAAUAUAAGGACUAGUCUUAAGAGCUGAAUCAAACUUGGGGUCUCAGCUGCUUCUUGUGGUCUUACAGAUUCUAAUGAAAACAUUUAGUUAACAAAGAGAAAUCAGACAGGGAAGAGGCACAGGACUCAUCCCAACAGGAUGGAAAUCUUUAGCUAGUUAUUAAAAAGAAAAAUGGGAUAAAUGGAAUAGACAUGAAUAAACUUAAAACAAAGGUUUUAAUAAAACACUGCCUAAGGUUGGAUGGGCUAAAGGGACAGCCCCCAUUGAUCCCCCAACAUUACAGGACAUCAGACAAACCUGUUCCUUUCACCCCAGUUUGAAAAAAUUAAAAAGCCAGAAGGCAGAAAUCACAAUAAAAAACCCUGACCAACAAUUGUUUGGGGAAACAGUUAGGCUACUAAGGUUGAUAAGACUAUAAAAAUUAAAAGCAUUUAAGCUGAUAUUAUAUAAAGAGGUUAUAUCAACUUUGCCUGGAUUUUUUUUGCGGGGGAAUAGAUGUUCCGUAUAAUUGGGAAUGCUUUCUCUACAUAAUAUUGUAAUACCAAAACUUGUUAAUGGAACUCUAAUAUAAGUCAUAAUUAAGGAUAUAAGAGUUGAAAAAUUAAGAUAAAAGUUUGUAAAGAUUAGUAUAUUUAAAUGGGCGUUAGUAAAAUAAUUAUAUCUCUUUUGUCUGGUUGUAUUGUAAAUUAUGUCAUGGGGAUAAACAUUAUGCCUCAUUGGGGAAUGUUUCCCCUACCUGAUAUUCUAAGAGCAUAGAAAUCCAGCUUUCAGGUAAUGUUAAUUAAACAUGCUAAAGGUGACCUCACAUUAAAAUGGCCAAAACGGGCCAAUUUCAGUUUACCCAAACUGACGUAUGCAAUUGGAAAAAGCCAGCUACAACAAUGGGAAGCCUGUUUUAAUCUUUUGAGGCUUCUAAAUAAAAUCAGAAAUACUUUACUGCCUCUUUAAGAGAAAAUAAAUAAAUAAUUAAACAUGCCAGCAGCUGAAGCCAAAUCUGCUGCUUUUCUCUGCUCUCUUGCUGAGCUUCCCUUCAAGAUGAGCUUCACUUCAACUCCCCCGAAAUUCCUGAUCUAAAAUUGAACAAAUUUAAGAAAACCUUUUUCUCUAUUCUCUUAAGGAAUUAUGAUUUCAAAAUUGAGGUAUUUAUAUUUUUCUCGCUAUCUGAGCCCUCCAAAUUGGAAAAACUCCUGAUGACCUUGCAAACUGAAGCUGGAGGACUUGAUACAAACUUAGGAGAGAUUCACGUCUGCUGCUGGGUGAGCCUCUCAGAAAGCUACCUGUGUGCCCGAUGACACCAUCAGAGACAUUGCAAACUGUGAAAGAUGCUUCAACCCUGACUUCUAGGAAUCUUGAUUGGCUGCCCCCUGGGCUCAAGAACUACUUUAUAAUUUGCUCCAACCAUGCACCUUGUUUUUCUCUUUUUGUUUCUCUAGAAAAACUUCUUAUUAAAUACCUGGUUGCUUAUUUACACAAUACAGGCCUAACGUUGGGGCCUACGUGUAUAACUACCUUAUUAAAAGACUGGUUCAGGUCCCAGCCCUGUGGCACAGCAGUUAAGUGUGCACGUUCUGCUUUGGCGGCCUGGGGUUUGCCAGUUUGAAUCCCAGGUGCGGACAUGACACCACUUGG